AUUGAACGCUGGCGGUAUGCUUAACACAUGCAAGUCGAACGGCAGCAUGUCUUAUCUUCGGAUUUGAUGAUGGCGAGUGGCGGACGGGUGAGUAACACGUAGGUAUCUACCUGAAAGUGGGGGACAACCCGGGGAAACUCGGGCUAAUACCGCAUAUUCUCUACGGAGGAAAGCUGGGGACCGUAAGGCCUGGCGCUUUCAGAUGAGCCUGCGGCAGAUUAGCUAGUUGGUAAGGUAAAGGCUUACCAAGGCAACGAUCAAUAGCUGUUCUUAGAGGAAGACCAGCCACAUUGGGACUGAGACACGGCCCAGACUCCUACGGGAGGCAGCAGUGGGGAAUCUUGCACAAUGGGGGAAACCCUGAUGCAGCGAUGCCGCGUGAGUGAAGAAGGCCUUUGGGUUGUAAAACUCUUUCGUCGGGGAAGAAAAUGACUGUACCCGAAUAAGAAGGUCCGGCUAACUUCG
rnacentral:rRNA from 1 species